UCAGGAAAUCUCAUGAACAACAAUUAAACAGACAAUCAGCUGAACUCAAACUGCAGACAUUUAGCAACUGGAACCCAUAUUACUAGAAAGCAAAGGUUUAACUAAUUCUAAGAAAACUGUCCCAAGAGCCUGUGGCCACAGCCAUGCCAUCAUCAGUUACACCCAGACAGCUGACACGGUUAUCAUGACCAGCGAGAACACCUGAAAAACAAAGGCUCAUCUCAUCUUUCCCUGCCCUAGCUGUGGAAGCAGCUACUUAGAUCUGGGCACUGGUUGUGCUCACUGCUACGAGGCUGUCAUUGCUUCCAGGCCCUUUCAUUAGA